GGCUCGGUGGUGGAUGGUCCACACCUGCUUCUUGCCUGAAAUAAUUCUGGCAGCAUUAGCCAGCAGGAACUGCCUGUUCGACUCAGGCCCGAGCCA